GACGAACGCUGGCGGCGUGCUUAACACAUGCAAGUCGAACGGACAUUCCCUGCUUUUUUGGGGUGCUCGAGUGGCGACCGGGUGAGUUACACUUGAGUAACCUGUCCUUGACUUUGGGUUAACUUCAUGACACUGGGGCUCAUACCGGAUAGGAUCUCUUGCUUCUUGGUGGGGGUUGGAAAGUUUCGGCGGUUGGGUAUGGACUGGCGGCUUCUCAGCUUGUUGGUGGGGUAGUGGAUUACCAAUGCUUUGACGGGUAGCCGGCCUGAGAGGGUGCCAGGCACAAUUAGGACUGAAAUACGACCCAGACUACUACGGGAGGCAGCGGUGGAGAGGAUUGCACAAUGGGCGGAAGCAAGGUGCAGCAAAGCCGCGUGCGGGAUAAGGGCCUGCGGGUUGUAAAGCGAAUUCGCCUGUGAGGAAGCGUGAGUGACGGUAAUGGGUAAAGAAGCACCGGCUAACUACGUG
rnacentral:rRNA from 1 species